rnacentral:rRNA from 1 species
AACGAACGCUGGCGGCAUGCCUAACACAUGCAAGUCGAACGAGACCUUCGGGUCUAGUGGCGAACGGGUGAGUAACGCGUGGGAACCUGCCCUUAGGUUCGGAAUAACCCCCCGAAAGGGGUGCUAAUACCGGAUAAUGUCUUCGGACCAAAGAUUUAUCGCCUUUGGAUGGGCCCGCGUUGGAUUAGCUAGUUGGUAGGGUAAAAGCCUACCAAGGCGACGAUCCAUAGCUGGUCUGAGAGGAUGAUCAGCCACACUGGGACUGAGACACGGCCCAGACUCCUACGGGAGGCAGCAGUGGGGAAUAUUGGACAAUGGGCGAAAGCCUGAUCCAGCAAUGCCGCGUGAGUGAUGAAGGCCUUAGGGUUGUAAAGCUCUUUUACCCGGGAUGAUAAUGACAGUACCGGGAGAAUAAGCUCCGGCUAACUCCGUG